UACGUAGGGUGCGAGCGUUGUCCGGAAUUACUGGGCGUAAAGGGCGCGUAGGCGGCGCAUUUAGUCAGGCGUGAAAUUCCUGGGCUCAACCUGGGGACUGCGCUUGAUACGGGUGUGCUAGAGGGCAGGAGAGGCUCGCGGAAUUCCCAGUGUAGAGGUGAAAUUCGUAGAUAUUGGGAAGAACACCGGUGGCGAAGGCGGGUCUCUGGGCCGAUACUGACGCUGAGGAGCGAAAGCGUGGGGAGCAAACAGG
rnacentral:rRNA from 1 species